rnacentral:rRNA from 1 species
GAUGAACGCUGGCGGCGUGCCUAAUACAUGCAAGUCGAGCGAACAGAUGAGGAGCUUGCUCCUCUGACGUUAGCGGCGGACGGGUGAGUAACACGUGGAUAACCUACCUAUAAGACUGGGAUAACUUCGGGAAACCGGAGCUAUUACCGGAUAAUAUAUUGAACCGCAUGGUUCAAUAGUGAAAGCCGGUUUUGCUGUCACUUAUAGAUGGAUCCGCGCCGCAUUAUCUAGUUGGUAAGGUAACGGCUUACCAAGGCAACGAUGCGUAGCCGACCUGAGAGGGUGAUCGGCCACACGGGAACUGAGACACGGUCCAGACUCCUACGGGAGGCAGCAGUAGGGAAUCUUCCGCAAUGGGCGAAAGCCUGACGGAGCAACGCCGCGUGAGUGAUGAAGGUCUUCGGAUCGUAAAACUCUGUUAUUAGGGAAGAACAAAUGUGUAAGUAACUAUGCACGUCUUGACGGUACCUAAUCAGAAAGCCACGGCUAACUACGUG